rnacentral:rRNA from 4 species
UACUAGAAUAUUAAAAGUUAUGGCCUUUAAAUUUAAAAAAUUUGGCGGUGUUUUAGUCUAGUUAGAGGAACCUGUUUUAUAAACGAUACAACACGCAUUAUUUUACUUAUUUUAGUGGAGCAGUUUGUAUACCGUCAUUAUAAGAUAAUUUAGGAGAAAAUAUUAUUGAAAUCAUAUUUGUGAGUAUAUUAGAUCAAGGUGCAGCUUAUAGAUAAGUAAAUAUGGGUUACAAUAAAAUUAAUUUAAUAUGAAUUAAGUAUUUAAAUAUAUUUAUGAAGGAGGAUUUAAUUGUAAGGGAAGGAGUAGUGAGAUUUUCUGAUAAAAGCUCUAAAUUAUGUACAUAUCGCCCGGCGCUC